rnacentral:rRNA from 1 species
GAUGAACGCUGGCGGCGUGCCUAAUACAUGCAAGUCGAGCGAACAGACGAGGAGCUUGCUCCUCUGACGUUAGCGGCGGACGGGUGAGUAACACGUGGAUAACCUACCUAUAAGACUGGGAUAACUUCGGGAAACCGUAGCUAAUACCGGAUAAUAUAUUGAACCGCAUGGUUCAAUAGUGAAAGACGGUUUUGCUGUCACUUAUAGAUGGAUCCGCGCCGCAUUAGCUAGUUGGUAAGGUAACGGCUUACCAAGGCAACGAUGCGUAGCCGACCUGAGAGGGUGAUCGGCCACGCGGGAACUGAGACACGGUCCAGACACCGACGGGAGGCAGCAGUAGGGAAGCUUCCGCAAUGGGCGAAAGCCUGACGGAGCAACGCAGCGUGAGUGAUGAAGGUCUUCGGAUCGUAAAACUCUGUGAGUAGGGAAGAACAUAUGUGUAAGUAACUGUGCACAUCUUGACGGUACCUAAUCAGAAAGCCACGGCUAACUACGUG